UACGAAGGGGGCUAGCGUUGUUCGGAAUCACUGGGCGUAAAGGGCGCGUAGGCGGCUUUAUAAGUCGGGGGUGAAAGCCUGUGGCUCAACCACAGAAUUGCCUUCGAUACUGUAGAGCUUGAGACCGGAAGAGGUAAGUGGAACUGCGAGUGUAGAGGUGAAAUUCGUAGAUAUUCGCAAGAACACCAGUGGCGAAGGCGGCUUACUGGUCCGGUUCUGACGCUGAGGCGCGAAAGCGUGGGGAGCAAAUAGG
rnacentral:rRNA from 1 species